UUUUCAUGAUGAAAACACCCUUAUUCAGUUCUGCUUCUGAACACACUUGAUGACACAACCUAUACCAAAAACAUUUUCUGAGCA
rnacentral:snoRNA from 1 species